rnacentral:rRNA from 1 species
UCGCGUCUGCUNUGAAAGGCUGGGGCUUAACCCUGGUUUUGCAGUGGNUACGGGCUAACUAGAGUGCAGUAGGGGAGACUGGAAUUCCUGGUGUAGCGGUGGAAUGCGCAGAUAUCAGGAGGAACACCGAUGGCGAAGGCAGGUCUCUGGGCUGUAACGGACGCUGAGAAGCGAAAGCAUGGGGAGCGAACAGGAUUAGAUACCCUGGUAGUCCAUGCCGUAAACGUUGGGCACUAGGUGUGGGGGACAUUCCACGUUUUCCGCGCCGUAGCUAACGCAUUAAGUGCCCCGCCUGGGGAGUACGGCCGCAAGGCUAAAACUCAAAGAAAUUGACGGGGGCCCGCACAAGCGGCGGAGCAUGCGGAUUAAUUCGAUGCAACGCGAAGAACCUUACCAAGGCUUGACAUAUACUGGACUGCGUCAGAGAUGGCGUUUCCCUUCGGGGCUGGUAUACAGGUGGUGCAUGGUUGUCGUCAGCUCGUGUCGUGAGAUGUUGGGUUAAGUCCCGCAACGAGCGCAACCCUCGUUCUAUGUUGCCAGCACGUGAUGGUGGGGACUCAUAGGAGACUGCCGGGGUUAACUCGGAGGAAGGUGGGGAUGACGUCAAAUCAUCAUGCCCCUUAUGUCUUGGGCUUCACGCAUGCUACAAUGGCCGGUACAGAGGGUUGCGAUACUGUGAGGUGGAGCUAAUCCCUAAAAGCCGGUCUCAGUUCGGAUUGGGGUCUGCAACUCGACCCCAUGAAGUCGGAGUCGCUAGUAAUCGCAGAUCAGCAACGCUGCGGUGAAUACGUUCCCGGGCCUUGUACACACCGCCCGUCAAGUCACGAAA